CAUCUCCCUGGAAAUCUCUACAACAGAAUUUCAUAGGAUGGCUCGAAAACCUGUGGAAAGAAGUUACUCCCUUAGCAACUCUUCCAUGAAUGACCUGCACCUGUGGGCAUGUCUGAGAAUGAUGUCCCCGCUUGAGAAUUUGGGCAUGGCCUCAGGUCCCAGCAGAUAGCAGAAACUGGAUUACAGAAAUAAGCAGCUCUACAGGAGAUGGGCCUGAUCCGAAGCACGUUGAAGUCAACCAUAGGUCUUACUUGGACUUCAGUGGACUUUGGAAUGGGCUGAAGGUGAAGGAGAGACAGUCUCUGAUGUUCAGAGCACAGAUGUAGUCAUGGAAGAUUGUAGGUGACAGGGAAUGGCCAAAGGGAUCUAAUUCUGCUGUCGCUAGUAGAUAGGGCUGAUAUGGGUUCGUAGACAGCCAGAAAACUGGAGAUUCCAAGGGGCCUGGAUUUACUGGUGGCUAGUUUUUCAUUAUGUUAAGAAUUUCUGCAAUUGCCAGGACAGCCCAAAUCUGGUGAAUAAUUUAUUUGGUAUUCAGAAAUUGCCUGUGUCUCCACAUCAGUGUCAGCUUUAGGCUUUGAUUGCUCUCUCUGAGAGCCUUCUCCUCACCCACUGACUGCACACGUUGUGGGUUAAAACCUGUCACCGACUCAGCCUUGAGUUAGCCAAUAGAAACUGACAUUUCUAAUAUUCCAAGAGUCACAUAAGGUCAAUUAGAACACAUCAUUGCACUAUUUUUCUGCUGCCUGUGUAGCCCAAAGUGGUCCAAUGUGCUUCAGCAGCAGCAGUGGGAACAAGAAGUUGUGGGGUACAAUCUGCUGCAAGUUGGGAGAACAACAUCCUGGUUCCCACCAGGAAGUACCCUCUGCCCUUGCAGCAGGACAUUUUAGCACUGAAGCUGGGAGCAUGAGGCAAGCAAAGAGGAGGCUGCUGGACUGUCAUCCUGUUCUAUGAUUCUUUGCAGAACAAAACUUUGCUCCUGGUGGUUUGUCUGAGUGGGUCUGCUCUGAGGUGGCGCACACUGACACACAGCAUAAAGCA